rnacentral:rRNA from 1 species
GACAGAGGUGCCGAGCGUUAGGCGGAAUCACUGGGCUUAAAGCGUGUGUAGGCGGGUCGUUAAGUGUCCGUGUGAAAUCCCACCGCUCAACGGUGGAACGGCCGGGCAUACUGGCGACCUUGGGCCACUCAGGGGCGAGCGGAACAGGCGGUGGAGCGGUGAAAUGCGUAGAUAUCGCCUGGAACGCCGACGGUGAAAACAGCUCGCUGGGGGUGUGCCGACGCUGAGACACGAAAGCCAGGGGAGCGAACGGG